UGGGGAAUCUUGCACAAUGGGGGAAACCCUGAUGCAGCGACGCCGCGUGAACGAUGAAGCCCUUCGGGGUGUAAAGUUCUUUCGACAGGAACGAUAAUGACGGUACCGGGAGAAGAAGCUGCGGCUAACUACGUGCCAGCAGCCGCGGUAAUACGUAGGCAGCAAGCGUUGUUCGGAGUUACUGGGCGUAAAGAGUGCGUAGGCGGUUUUCUAAGUUCGGUGUGAAAUCUCCCGGCUUAACUGGGAGGGUGCGCCGAAGACUGGGAAGCUGGAGUGUGGGAAAGGCAGGCGGAAUUCCUGGUGUAGCGGUGAAAUGCGUAGAUAUCAGGAGGAACACCGGCGGUGUAGACGGCUUGCUAGACCAUAACUGACGCUGAGGCACGAAAGCGUGGGUAGCAAACA
rnacentral:rRNA from 1 species